AACGUCCCUGCGCUUCAGAAGCCAGGAGAGGAUUUCAUCCUCAAAAUUGGAGCCUGCCCAUCUCGUAGUCUCAGCUCUCACGAGUGCCCAACUGCUGCCCUCUCUGAGUAUCCUGAACUGCCUGGAAUCCUGAGCCAGCCAAUGCUGUUUUCACCUCUGAGCCUUUGCUCUUGCCAUCCUCACCCGCUGACGCUCCCUGCAUAUUCCACUUCCAGCCCUGGGCCCUGAAAUGGGAUCUCCUUCUUGCCUCUAUUUUACAGGAGGCGGGUGCUGCAGCCAGGCAGCUGGAAACAGGGAUGUGGAAACAGUCCCAGGGCCGAGUGGGGACAGCCAAUUUCAUCAAGUGCCCCUGCCCAGCAGGGGAAUUGCUGCUUGAGAUUUGGAGGCUACCUGCUGAGGCCUGCCUGCCAGUCCAGUGAGUGGGCCCCUCUGGGCCAGGCGCCUAUUUUCAUUAUCAAGGCCACAUUCCUGGGAUUCCUUGGUGACUAGGCGCUUAUUACAAGAGAAUCAAAGUGCCAAAGGAAACUACUCAUUUGAGGCCGAGACCUGGAUUUUUCAUUUUUAUAAUUGGCCCUUGGGUCUGCAUGUCCUGGGGAUACUGGUGGAAGGGAGCUGUUGGACAAAGUAUCUCUAUGGGGCCCCAGUCACCCCUGGGGGAGGGCGGGACUGGCCCCCUGCCAGAUCUGCUGCGCCCAUGCAGAAGGCCCUCCAGAGGUCAUGUUGUCCAGCCCCUGCCACUGGGCCUGACUCAUCAGCACCUAGGCCAGAAGGACAGGUGCUUAUCUGAGAGCUGACAAAUCUUUGUAGAAGGAGCCAAAGACUUGGAAAUCCCCUCUGCGUCCUCCCAACCAGCUAUCUAUCCAGCCCAGCAGUUCUCAACUGAGAGUGAAUUUCCCUCCAGGGGACAUUUGGCAAUGUCUAGAGAAAUUUUUGGUUGUCACAACUGGGUGUUUAGAAAAGGGAAGGUGCUACUUGCAUCUAGUGGGUAGAAGCCAAGGAUGCUGUUGCUAGGGACUGAAUGCUUGUGUCCCCCCAAAAUUCCUGUGUUGAAAACCUAACAACCCCUCAUGUGAUGGUAUUAGGAGGUGGGGCCUUUGGAAGGUGAUUAAGUCAUGAGAAGGAGCCCUCAUAACUGGGACUAGUACCCUUGUAAGAAGGGGCCAGAGUGUUCUCUUUCUCUCUCCACCACGUAUGGAUACAAAGAGAAGUCAGCAGUUUGCAACCCCGAAGAGGGCCCUCGUGGGAACCUGACCAUGCUGGCACCCUGAUCUCAGACCUCUAGCCUCCAGAACUGGGAGAAAUACAUUUCUGUUGUUUAGAAGCCACCAGCUAUAUGGUUUUUGUAUUGCAGCCGAAUAUGUUUUUGUAUUGCAGCCGAAUGGACUAAGACAGAUGCUAAACAUCUUACAAGGCACAGGGCAGCUCCUCAUAAUGAAGAAUGAUCUGGCUGCAACUGUCAGUAGUGCUGAGGCUGAGAAGCCGGGGGCUGGCCUCGAUCCCCUGCCCUGCAUCGAGUGCCCAUGCUUUCCCAGCUAGAGUUCAUGGAAAUGUAAGAUGGGAGGAUGGGCUGCUCAGGUGCAUCCUUUAGGAAGACAAGAAGUGUGGCCCAGCGCAGGUGGGAAUAAAGGCCAAAAGACACACCUUUUUACCAGAUGGACAGCAACGGGGACAUAACAGGGGAUUUGGAAUCCUGCAGACCUGGGUCUACACCUGGGCUCCAUUCCUCAGCUGUGGAGCCCUGGGCGGGUCACUUCAUCGGUCUGAGCCUGAUUUGUGAAAUAGGAGGAUCAUCCCCCUUGCAGUGAGGGAUGUACAUCUACCUCAUGGGCAGGUGCCACCAGGACCACUGGUCUGAACAGAUGUUCUGUCUGGGAUUUAGAAGAAGGUAGCCUGAGACCACCAG
rnacentral:lncRNA from 10 species